CUCCACGGUCGUGUAGUCUGAUGAUUCUUGCAGAAGGCUCUAGUCUAGUUCUCCUGUUUCUAAACAACAGUUCGGUACAUAGCGAUGGCUGCUACCUUCAGAUCCAAAGUACGAAGCUGUAUCCCGGGUCUGUAUCGUCAGACUCACAGUAUCAGAUUGCUAAAAGAAAUAGUAAAAGAGGAACUUGGAACAAUAAAGGAUGCAGGUACAUGGAAGUCGGAGCAUGUGAUCACUUCCAGACAAGGAUCACUGGUAACAGUAGGAAAACAGAAGCACAAGGUUCUUAACUUCUGCAGUAACAACUACCUGGGGCUUUCAAGCCACCCUGAUAUCAUUAAUGCUGCUCAAACAGCACUUGAGAAGUAUGGAGCAGGGCUGAGCUCAGUUCGCUUCAUCUGUGGAACACAAAACAUCCACAAGGAACUGGAACAUAAAAUUGCUGACUUCCACCAGCGUGAGAAUGCCAUUUUGUAUCCAAGCUGUUUUGAUGCUAAUGCUGCAAUUUUUGAAGUCCUGCUCACACCCAGAGAUGCUGUUUUUUCUGAUGAAUUGAAUCAUGCAUCCAUCAUUGAUGGGAUAAGACUGUGCAAAGCAAGAAAGCAUCGCUACCAACAUCUGGACAUGUCAGAUCUUGAGCAACACUUGAAGGAGGAGAAGAAUGCUCGACUCAAGUUGAUUGUGACAGACGGUGUGUUCUCUAUGGACGGCGACAUAGCUCCUCUUGAUAUGAUAUGCAAACUUGCUGAUAAGCAUGGGGCACUAGUGUUUGUUGAUGAAGCUCAUGCUACAGGCUUCUUUGGUAAGACAGGAAGAGGAACAGAGGAAUACCACAACAUAAUUGGUCAAGUUGACAUCAUAAACUCAACAUUGGGGAAGGCUAUGGGUGGUGCAUCUGGUGGCUACACAACUGGACCAAAGGAGUUAAUAGAUUUACUACGCCAGAGGGGACGGCCAUAUCUCUUCUCCAACAGUCUACCUCCCCCUGUUAUAGCAACAGGAAUUAAGGCAUUCGACAUUGUUUUGAACAGUAACGACCUCGUUAAGCGCGUCAGACACAACACAAAACGCUUCCGAAAUGCCAUGAUCGAAGCCGGUUUCACAGUUGCUGGGGGGGGCCAUCCUAUCUGCCCAAUCAUGCUAGGCCAAGAACGACUGGCGAGUAUAUUUGCGGAUGAAAUGCUUGCAAGAGGAAUCUAUGUGGUUGGAUUCAGCUACCCAGUAGUUCCCAAAAACAAGGCAAGAAUCCGGGUUCAAUUGUCAGCCAGUCAUUCAGAUGAAGACAUCAAUAAAGCUGUGAAUGCAUUUGUUGAAGUAGGGAAAAAGCUUAAUGUUAUCUCAUAAUGUUUGAAUAAUUCCAUCAACAUAAGAAAAAACAUGAUGAUUUCUUUUAUUAAGAGACUUCCCCCUGGGAAGUUGUUUGAAUAUUUUUUAUCAAACCACUACAUUCAAUUUUUCAAAGCCUGGAAAAGUCACACGGACCAUAAGAAAACUAGGACAGAAAGGGAACCUAUCACAAGGCAGCAUUCUCUACACACAGAUGCCAGUCCAUCAAAUUUGCACUACAUUUCUUUCUGUACUCUUUAACUCUAAAGGAAGUGACAAAAAUAUACUAAAGUGGGAAUGUCUCUAGUAGCAUGAUCUUUACACCAAGUUCCUAUAAAAUGUCAAUUUGUUCAAAAGUUUUUUUGGAGACACAGAUACGAAAAUGUGAAGAUAUGAUUAAGUUUACCUUCCCUUAUAAAAUAAGAAAAGUAGACUAAUAAUAUUCCGAGUUGACACUUCUUCAAAGCAAAUAAAUUCAAACAUAAAAUGUCACAUAUUUAAUGCCUUUGUUAUGUUGUUUAAGAAAACAGUUCUGAAUCAUACAUUACAAACUAAACAUCUAAGUUUAAAUCAACCAAAAUCAAAUAUUUCAGAAACAGAAAAAUAAUACAUUAGGAACCGAGAAAUAAGAUAUUUUACAUGUUAAACCAUUAAAAACAGAGAAUUCAUAGUUUAGAUGAUUUUGGCAUGUAGACAGAAAGGAAUAAGAUACAUAAAGAAUGAAUGACAGGAAAAACAUCUUUGAAUACUGAGAAGGUAACCCAGAUAAGCAGGGAAACUGUAUUCAGAACAUACUGAGUGGAAACAAUAUGAUAGGAUGAUUCCAAAAUCCAAGCCAUAGACCCAAAAGAAAGUAGAAAGUACAAUAUUAGGGAGAGAGAGAGGCUUUUUUUAAGUAGUUUCAAUUAUUGCAUAUUGAUGUAUACAAAAGUUGUUCGAUGAAAUGAAACACAGACCAUCUUUGACUGAGCAAGUUCAUAUUGUUGAAAUUAGUACACGUGCUUUGAUCCGUAAGUCCAUUUAUGCAAUAAAUUUCCCAAGGCUUCAUUUCCAACAUGGGAGGAUAAACUUAGGGUCCCUUAGAAUCUACAACACACAUUCCAAAUGAUGACACACAAAAAAAAAACAUUAAUUGGAACUCAAAUCCAAGCUAGGAAUGACAAAAAAUACAAUAAAAUCAAUGCUUCAUUUUUAAACUGAAAAAUAUACUGAUUUAUUUUUCAACUACUAGGGUUGUUUGAUUAAGAAUUAUGUAUUAGCUAGAGUUCCACAUGCUUUUCUUUUCUCAUAUAUAACUCCAUACAUCAAGAUGGAGAUAUAUAACAAAUUCUGAAGACGGCUGUCUUCUGGCAGAAGUUUACUGACAUUUCGAAGGUGUUUGGUAAUGAGUACUCGCUGCCCUGAUGACAGGGGCAGCAAGCACCUCUUAAAUGUCACUGAACUUCUACCAGAAGACAGUUAUCUUUUUUUUAUUCUUCUAAAACUCUGAUCAAAAGUCCUAAUAUACUGGCGGGCUGCCCCUUGUAUGAUGCUCUCUUAUGUUCUUCUGUCGUUUCUCCCCAUAGGAGGAACUUUCAGCAUAAAAUAGGUAUGUUAAUUUUAUUAACAUAGUAACAUGGUUACAUACAUACUAUAUAUAUAUACAUAUACAUACAUUCUCUGUCAUUUGAACUAUAAAAAUAUGUUAUCUUAUUGAAAAUACUGAAUAUUAAAGAGUAAUAUGGCACAGAAGUUACAUUGCUUAUGACCCUCAUCGCUUCAUGACCUGCCAUGCUUCAUCUGGGAUCAAAAUUUCACAUGACACGUGACCACUAUUUCAAAACUUGACCAACAUUUCAAUGCAUCUUGUAGCGACCCUGCUCUCAUACCCAUUUUGAAACAAUGGCGCAAACACACAACGCACCUCACAAUCAGAAACAAAGGUUUAUCUGUUUGACCCUCCCCUAGUGCAACAAAAGCUAUCAUACACAACAUAUUUCCUUAAAAAAAAAUAAGCAAGAAACUGUAUGAGAUAAGCUUACCAAAACCUCAUGAAGUGUUAUGUCAAUAAUCAUUAAAAAGAAACAUUUUAAUGAUAACGCAAAUGCAACUGUGCAUACAUAUGGAAAGAAUUCUAGUAUAUGGAAACUAUGAAUAAAUUCACUUAAUAUUUA